rnacentral:pre_miRNA from 1 species
UUAUUUAAGCUGGAGAAGCAGGGCACAUGCUAAAUUACUUGUAACUUUGAUCUUUCAAGAAUUUUGCAUGUGCUCUUGCUCUCCAGCUUAAUUCU